AUUGAACGCUGGCGGCAGGCCUAACACAUGCAAGUCGAGCGAGUGGCGGACGGGUGAGUAAUGUAUGGGGACCUGCCCGAUAGCGGGGGAUAACUACUGGAAAGGGUGGCUAAUACCGCAUACUAUCGGAUGAACCCAUAUGGGAUUAGCUAGUGGGUGGGGUAAAGGCUCACCUAGGCCACGAUCCCUAGCGGGUCUGAGAGGAUGAUCAGCCACACUGUGACUGAGACACGGCCCAGACUCCUACGUGAGGCCGCAGUGGUGAAUAGUGCACAAUGGGCGCAUACCUGAUGCAGCCAUGCCGCGUGUAUGAAGAAGGCCUUAGGGUUGUAAAGUACUUUCAGCGGGGAAGCGUUACCCGCAGAAGAAGCACCGGCUAACUCCGUGCCAGCAGCCGCGGUAAUAC
rnacentral:rRNA from 1 species